rnacentral:RNase_P_RNA from 24 species
GGAACAGUGGUAACUCCUACGAUUAAGAAACCUGUUUGCAAAAGGGCCCGCAUCUCGCAGGUCACUAAUUAUCAGGUGGGAAAUUCGGUGGAACAUAAUGGAGCCUUGUCCUCCGGGUCAGCGUCUUUGACAAUGGCCCCUGCUCCUGAGAGAAGAAUCUUACUGGGGAACCAGUCUUUAUCGACCGUUGUUAUCAGAAAUUAAACGGAGUCUGGCCUAGUCGGGCUCCGAUGGGAACGGCAACGGUUGUUCCGUUUGACUUGUCGCCCGCUACGGCGUGUGUGUCAAGGUCUGUUGAGUGCAAUCGUAGGACGCCAUUCGUGGCGAACCCGAUACCGAUUACUGCUGCUGUUCC